GACGAACGCUGGCGGCGUGCUUAACACAUGCAAGUCGAACGGGAAGGCCCGGCUUUGGUGGGGUGCUCGAGUGGCGAACGGGGGAGUAACACGUGAGUAACCUACACUUGACUGUGGGGUAUGUUCAGAACACUGGGUCUCAUACCGGAAAGGAGCUCCUGCUGCAGGGUGGGGGCGGGAUGGAUUCGGCGGUUGGGGAUGGACUCGCGGCCUAUCAGGUUGAUGGAGAGGUAGUGGCUUACCAUGGCUAUGAAGCGUAGCCGGGCUGAGCGGGUGACCUGCCCCGUUAGGAUUGGACUGCGGCCCAGACUCCUACGGGACGCAGCAGAGGGGAAUAGUGCACAAUGGGCGGAACCAUGAUGUAGUCAAGCCGCGUCGCGGAUGACGUCCUUGGGUUUGUAUUCCGAUUUCGCCUGUGCCGAAGCGUGAGUGACGGUAAUGGGUAAAGAAGCACCGGCUAACUCCGUG
rnacentral:rRNA from 1 species